rnacentral:rRNA from 1 species
UUGCCUGACCUCGGAUCAGACGUGAAUACCCGCUGAACUUAAGCAUAUCACUAAGCGGAGGAAAAGAAACUAACCAGGAUUC